UACGAAGGGGGCUAGCGUUGCUCGGAAUCAUUGGGCGUAAAGCGCGCGUAGGCGGUCAGGUAAGUCCGGUGUGAAAGUCAAAGGCUCAACCUUUGAAUGCCGCUGGAUACUGCCUGACUUGAGUUCGGGAGAGGUGAGUGGAACUGCGAGUGUAGAGGUGAAAUUCGUAGAUAUUCGCAAGAACACCAGUGGCGAAGGCGGCUCACUGGCCCGAUACUGACGCUGAGGCACGAAAGCGUGGGGAGCAAACAGG
rnacentral:rRNA from 1 species